rnacentral:sRNA from 1 species
GCUUAAUAGCUGUAGGUCUGGUGUGAGAGUUCCGCUAUUCGGUCUCACACCUACAGUGGACUACCCGAUUUUUCGCUUCUCUUCAGGGAUGAGUCAUGUGGUGGUGAAAAAUGACCCUGAACUGGACCAGCAGCUUGCUAAUCUGGACCUGAACUCUGAAAAACAGAGUGGAGGAGCAAGUAGAGCGAGCAAAGGGCGCUAUAUACCUCCUCACUUAAGGAACAGAGAAGCAUCUAAAGGUACGUCUUUAAGGCAACUUUGUAGACCUAACCUUUAGCAGCUAAUCAAAGCCUAGGGAAGAAAUUUUAGGAAGUCUGUAAACGUUUUUUGUCCCCUCCUGUGCCUCUUUCAGACUGUCUUUAAGAACUAGCACUUUCUGUUUUUGGAACAGUUUGUAUAAUGUUGAAUGAUGGAUAGUUGUUGUUUCCUUUGGCAAACUGAGCCCAAAGAAUCUGGGUUUUGUAUAGUGGUUUAUCUGUUUGUAAACAUUUAUGUUUUGAAAUUUGAAACCAGUGUAUUUGUGGAAA